GUGGGGUUGGGGUUGGGGGAGGUAACCAUCUGGAAGGAGGGUAGAUUACUAGGCAAGCCCAUGCUUUGGCAUGAUGGUAUCUAUGAUGUACAAGCUGUUACUGAAUGGGCACGUGAUCCAAAUCCUCAGUAUCUUCAUCUGUAAAAUGAAGCAUUUGGAUUAGAUCUUUAAAGUAGCUCUCAGGUCUAACAGUUUACAGGGCUAUAUAUUAAAAAAACUCCAUUUAUCUUUUCCAGGAACUAAGGUUGUCACUGAAAAGAACACAAGCCCUUUCUCCUUGCUACCCAAUGAAGUAACCCUAAAAAGGCUACAUUUUACCUAAAGUGUGUGUGUGUGUAUGUGUAUUUUUCUGCACUUUGGAGGAAGUGACGCUCAUAGUUAUCCUUUUUCCUCAUCAUGUAUCCUUCUUCCACAUCCCCUUCCUUCUCCAGUAAAUUGCCCCUCUCCUAAAUAUUCCCCUACCAUCUAUCUCUAAUCUUCUUUCUCUCUCUAUAGGCUUUUUCUAAGUUCGUUCUCAGGAGGAAACAUUUCAGGAUUGGAGCAUAAAUUAGGCAAAGGCACAGUAGCGGCAAAUGGAAUGUCAACUUUCAGCAAUAACGUAUUUAGGCAGGAAUAUGGACUUCAUGAAGAGAGGUAUAAAAUAAGAUUGGAGCUGAAUUUUAGCAUGACUGAUGUGGCAGCGGCAUGUAGAAAUACCCAGAGGUUUGAAAGACUGGAAGCAAAAAGACCUGUUCUCAGAUCUGUUACAGUAUCACAGCUACCCCCAGCUACCACAGACUGGAGAAAGCACAUCAAAAGAAGUAUCUUUGAGUUUCCAGAGAUUUAUGAAGAGAAUUCCCAUAGAAGAAACUCCCUUAAACCCUGUAGAUGAGUAAACUGAGGUGAGAAGGCAAGGACAUUGAGAAGACUUGCCCAAGAUUAUCUGGCUAGUUGAAACGCAGAGAAAGAUUACAGAUCAGAGGCCUACAAAGCAACAAGAAAAAUAGGGUAGAGGAAAUCAGGCCACAUGAAGUAGUAUGCUUCAGAGGAAUGACAUGAAACCAGAUACUGGCUGGAUUACGGACCACCUCUGCUAGCCCUGAGCAAGCCUCAAAAAAAAAAUUACCAUAAGGUUGACUUCCUGUUAAUGAA